UACGUAGGGACAAGCGUUGCUCGGAAUCACUGGGCGUAAAGGGUGCGUAGGCGGGUCUUUAAGUCAGGGGUGAAAUCCUGGAGCUCAACUCCAGAACUGCCUUUGAUACUGAAGAUCUUGAGUUCGGGAGAGGUGAGUGGAACUGCGAGUGUAGAGGUGAAAUUCGUAGAUAUUCGCAAGAACACCAGUGGCGAAGGCGGCUCACUGGCCCGAUACUGACGCUGAGGUGCGAAAGCGUGGGGAGCAAACAGG
rnacentral:rRNA from 1 species